AAGGAAGAUUAUACAAAAAGAAUCAUAGUAAAAAGUUUCAGGUAAACAACUUUUAGAUACAUUUAUGCAAAAAAUGGUUAUUAUAAACAAUCCAAUUAUAUUGUGGCAGUAAGCAAAAAUUGUUUCUAUAAAAUAAGGUUGAUAACUAUAAAGUAAUGUUGAUAAAACUAUUUGUUUAAAGGUCAUGGUCCAUAGACUGGCCUCUGUCAGUUUAUGUUUUACAGUGCUAAAUUUCUAUAAGAUCUCACAUGUUAUAAUAUACAUACAAUAAAAAAAAAUUAAAUUAUGAGAAUAUAUAAUUGCAGACUGGGCCAUUGCAGACUGUGAAAAUUUGCCAACUUAGUGUUUAUAGUAUCAGCAAUAUUUCACAACCUUGGAGUCUGAAAAGGUGAACGCAACUACAAGACGUGCCACUAGGAAACACUUGCACAGGACGUUCUCAGCUGACAUAUAAUGAGGAAAAAUUGUGGUUUUGAUAAUCAGUUUGAAAGAAAGUGUUGGUUUGUGACAGACAACAUAAUAGUUGAAAUCAAGGUGAUCAAAGAAAGCAGCAGAACCUACAAAAGUCAUGUUCAGAUACUUGCACAAUAAAAAAGCUGUUUGUGACACUUCAAGUUAAUGUAG